GUAGCCGCGGGACUUAGCUGGGUGCAGACGGGAAGUUGCGGCUGCCAGCGAAGCGGACCGGCCGUGUGGAGGCCACACGCUACCCCGAGGCUGCGUAGGCCGCGCGAAGGAGAACGCCGUGCCGUGGGCCUGGGGUCGGGGGAGCCACAGACCGGGAAGCACCGUGCGGACCGAGGAUUUGGGGUGGAAGGCAGGCAUGGUCAAACCCGUUUCACUGACAGGAGAGCAGAGACAGGACGUGUCUCUCUCCACGUCUUCCAGCCAGUAAAAGCAGCCAAGCUGGAGCCCAAAGCCCGGUGUUCUGACUCCCAGCGUGGGGGUCCCUGCACCAACCAUGAGCCGCCUGCUCUGGAGGAAGGUGGCCGGCGCCACCGUCGGGCCAGGGCCGGUUCCAGCUCCGGGGCGCUGGGUCUCCAGCUCCGUCCCCGCGUCCGACCCCAGCGACGGGCGGCGGCGGCGGCAGCAGCAGCAGCAGCAGCAGCAGCAACAGCAGCCUCAGCAGCCGCAAGUGCCAUCCUCGGAGGGCGGGCAGCUUCGGCACAACCCAUUGCACAUCCAGAUGCUCUCGAGAGGGCUGCACGAGCAAAUCUUCGGGCAAGGAGGGGAGAUGCCCGGCGAGGCCGCGGUGCGCCGCAGCGUCGAGCACCUGCAGAAGCACGGGCUCUGGGGGCAGCCAGCCGCCCCCUUGCCCGACGUGGAGCUGCGCCUGCCGCCCCUCUACGGGGACAACCUGGACCAGCACUUCCGCCUCCUGGCCCAGAAGCAGAGCCUGCCCUACCUGGAGGCGGCCAACUUGCUGUUGCAGGCCCAGCUGCCCCCGCAGCCCCCGCGUUGGGCCUGGGCGGAGGGCUGGACCCGCUACGGCCCCGAGGGGGAGGCCGUACCCGUGGCCAUCCCCGAGGAGCGGGCCCUGGUGUUCGACGUGGAGGUCUGCUUGGCAGAGGGAACUUGCCCCACAUUGGCGGUGGCCAUAUCCCCCUUGGCCUGGUAUUCCUGGUGCAGCCGGCGGCUGGUGGAAGAGCGUUACUCUUGGACCAGCCAGCUGUCGCCGGCUGACCUCAUACCCCUGGAGGUCCCUGCUGCUGCCAGCAGCCCCACCCAGAGAGAUUGGCAGGAGCAGUUAGUGGUGGGGCACAAUGUUUCCUUUGACCGAGCUCAUAUCAGGGAGCAGUACCUGAUCCAGGGUUCCCGCAUGCGUUUCCUGGACACCAUGAGCAUGCACAUGGCCAUCUCAGGGCUAAGUAGCUUCCAGCGCAGUCUGUGGAUAGCAGCCAAGCAGGGCAAGCACAAGGUCCAGCACCCCACAAAGCAAGGCCAGAAGUCCCAGAGGAAAGCCAGAAGAGGCCCAGCGAUCUCAUCCUGGGACUGGCUGGACAUCAGCAGCGUCAACAGUCUGGCAGAGGUGCACAGACUUUAUGUAGGGGGGCCUCCCUUAGAGAAGGAGCCUCGAGAACUGUUUGUGAAGGGCACCAUGAAGGACAUUCGUGAGAACUUCCAGGACCUGAUGCAGUACUGUGCCCAGGACGUGUGGGCCACCCAUGAGGUUUUCCAGCAGCAACUACCGCUCUUCUUGGAGAGGUGUCCCCACCCAGUGACUCUGGCCGGCAUGCUGGAGAUGGGUGUCUCCUACCUGCCUGUCAACCAGAAUUGGGAGCGUUACCUGGCAGAGGCACAGGGCACUUAUGAAGAGCUCCAGCGGGAGAUGAAGAAGUCGUUGAUGGAUCUGGCCAAUGACGCCUGCCAGCUGCUCUCAGGAGAGAGGUACAAAGACGACCCCUGGCUCUGGGACCUGGAGUGGGACCUGCAAGAAUUUAAGCAGAAGAAAGCUAAGAAGGUGAAGAAGGACCCAGCCACAGCCAGCAAGUUGCCCAUCGAGGGGGCUGGGGCCCCUGGUGACCCCAUGGAUCAGGAAGACCUCGGCCCCUGCAGUGAGGAGGAGGAGUUUCAACAAGAUGUCAUGGCCCGCACCUGCUUGCAGAAGCUGAAGGGGACCACAGAGCUCCUGCCCAAGCGGCCCCAGCACCUUCCUGGACACCCUGGAUGGUACCGGAAGCUCUGCCCCCGGCUAGACGACCCUGCAUGGACCCCAGGCCCCAGCCUCCUCAGCCUGCAGAUGCGGGUCACACCUAAACUCAUGGCACUGACCUGGGAUGGCUUCCCUCUGCACUACUCAGAGCGUCAUGGCUGGGGCUACCUGGUGCCUGGGCGGCGGGACAACCUGGCCAAGCUGCCGACAGGUACCACCCUGGAGUCAGCUGGGGUGGUCUGCCCCUACAGAGCCAUCGAGUCCCUGUACAGGAAGCACUGUCUUGAACAGGGGAAGCAGCAGCUGAUGCCCCAGGAGGCCGGCCUGGCCGAGGAGUUCCUGCUCACUGACAAUAGUGCCAUAUGGCAAACGGUAGAAGAACUGGAUUACUUAGAAGUGGAGGCUGAGGCCAAGAUGGAGAACUUGCGAGCUGCAGUGCCAGGUCAACCCCUAGCUCCGACUGCCCCUGGUGGCCCCAAGGACACCCAGCCCAACUAUCACCAUGGCAAUGGACCUUACAACGACGUGGACAUCCCUGGCUGCUGGUUUUUCAAGCUGCCUCACAAGGAUGGUAAUAGCUGUAAUGUGGGAAGCCCCUUUGCCAAGGACUUCCUGCCCAAGAUGGAGGAUGGCACCCUGCAGGCUGGCCCAGGAGGUGCCAGUGGGCCCCGUGCUCUGGAAAUCAACAAAAUGAUUUCUUUCUGGAGGAACGCCCAUAAACGUAUCAGCUCCCAGAUGGUGGUGUGGCUGCCCAGGUCAGCUCUGCCCCGUGCUGUGAUCAGGCACCCUGACUAUGAUGAGGAAGGCCUCUAUGGGGCCAUCCUGCCCCAGGUGGUGACUGCCGGCACCAUCACUCGCCGGGCUGUGGAGCCCACAUGGCUCACUGCCAGCAAUGCCCGGCCUGACCGAGUAGGCAGUGAGUUGAAAGCCAUGGUGCAGGCCCCACCUGGCUACACCCUUGUGGGUGCUGAUGUGGACUCCCAAGAGCUGUGGAUUGCAGCUGUGCUUGGAGACGCCCACUUUGCCGGCAUGCAUGGCUGCACAGCCUUUGGGUGGAUGACACUGCAGGGCAGGAAGAGCAGGGGCACUGACCUACACAGUAAGACGGCUACUACUGUGGGCAUCAGCCGUGAGCAUGCCAAAGUCUUCAACUACGGCCGCAUCUAUGGUGCUGGGCAGCCGUUUGCUGAGCGCUUACUAAUGCAGUUCAACCACCGGCUCACACAGCAGGAGGCAGCUGAGAAGGCCCAGCAGAUGUACGCUGCCACCAAGGGCCUUCGCUGGUAUCGGCUGUCAGAUGAGGGCGAGUGGCUGGUGAGGGAGUUGCACCUCCCAGUGGACAGGACUGAGGGUGGCUGGAUUUCCCUGCAGGAUCUGCGCAAGGUCCAGAGAGAAGCUGCAAGGAAGUCACAGUGGAAGAAGUGGGAGGUGGCUGCUGAACGGGCAUGGAAAGGGGGCACGGAGUCAGAAAUGUUCAAUAAGCUUGAGAGCAUUGCUACGUCUGACAUACCACGUACCCCGGUGCUGGGCUGCUGCAUCAGCCGAGCCCUGGAGCCCUCGGCUGUCCAGGGAGAGUUUAUGACCAGCCGUGUGAAUUGGGUGGUACAGAGCUCUGCUGUUGACUACUUACACCUCAUGCUUGUGGCCAUGAAGUGGCUGUUUGAAGAGUUUGCCAUAGACGGGCGCUUCUGCAUCAGCAUCCAUGACGAGGUUCGCUACCUGGUGCGGGAGGAGGACCGCUACCGCGCUGCCCUGGCCUUGCAGAUCACCAACCUCUUGACCAGUAAAAUUCCUAGUUCAUAUGGAUGAAUUAAAUAUUACCGUUCCAUGUUGAUCUGCCACUCAGAACCAGUUUGGGAACCAUGAUCUAUCCUGAUUAUUGGGUGCAUGUUUGCCUACAAGCUGGGUCUGAAUGACUUGCCCCAGUCAGUCGCCUUUUUCAGUGCAGUCGAUAUUGACCGGUGCCUCAGGAAGGAAGUGACCAUGGAUUGUAAAACACCUUCCAACCCAACUGGGAUGGAAAGGAGAUACGGGAUUCCCCAGGGUGAAGCGCUGGAUAUUUACCAGAUAAUUGAACUCACCAAAGGCUCCUUGGAAAAACGAAGCCAGCCUGGACCAUAGCACUGCCUGGAGGCUCUGUAUUUGCUCCCGUGGAGCUUCAUCGGGGUGGUGCAGGCUCCCAAACUCAGGCUUUCAGCUGUGCUUUUUGCAAAAGGGCUUGCCUAAGGCCAGCCAUUUUUCAGCAGCAGGACCUGCCAAGAAGAUUCCUUCUAACUGAAGGUGCAGUUGAAUUCAGUGGGUUCAGAACCAAGAUGCCAACAUCAGUGUGGGCUAUAGGACAAGGGGUAUUGUUGCUUGUUGGGUAAAAAUGAAGCAGAAGCCCCAAAGUUCACAUUAACUCAGGCAUUUCAUUCAUUUUUUCCUUUUCUUCUUGGCUGGUUCUUUGUUCUGUCCCCCAUGCUCUGAUGCAGUGCCCUAGAAGGGGAAAGAAGUAAUGAUCUAAGGUGAUAAACCUGCUCCAAGGCAGUGGAAAUAAAAAAAAAGGGAAAAAAAAACUCUAUCUUCUCA